rnacentral:lncRNA from 1 species
UCUAUACUCGCUGACCACAUGAGCUGAACCAGGUAAUAAAUUUACAGCUCUCCAAAUGGUCCCAGCAGGCCCUGGCCUAGAGUAAGUGCUCAGGAAAUGUACUUCCCUUCAUGUAGAGGCUCUGCAGGGAGAUAAUGAGAAGGAAGGGCUCCUGGCCAGGCCACUGGCUGUGCCCCUAGAUGUGGGGUCCUAGCAAGCCCCAUAAUCUCUAUUUGCUUCAAUUUCCUCCCCUAGGACCUAGGAAUAAUGGUGACGCUUAUGUCCUAGGGUCACUGUGAGUAUUAAGGGAGUUAAUAUUUGUCAAGUACUUAAGACAGAGCCCAGAACUUAGUAGACAUUGCCUCUGCCAAAAUACAGGUGCGCAUCUGUAUGCACUCGGGUGGGUGCAGACCUUGUGUCCUUGAAGACCUGGAUUUCAAGUCCUGGUUCUUUUUUUUUUUUUGCCAAAAUAUUUAAUUUUUUUGGUUUUGUUUGUUUUUUACUGUCUGGGUCACCUUGGAGAAACACCACCCUGUCUAAGCCUUGGUUUCCUUACUUGUGAAACAGAACUAAAACACCUACCCCUAGAGCUACUUGAGAACGAAAUGAGGUGCACAGGAGAGCACAGGAUUAGGUACGUAUCAGGUCUUAAUAAACGUUAUUCUUUUAUUUUCCCAGGCAGGUCUCUGUAGUGUCUCAAAUACCUAAGCCGAUUUCUGCCCUCAAAUCUGUCUACUGUCUCGCCCUCUGUUCUGUCGCCCUGGGAAUACUUUUGGCUCUAAGCUUCUAUAACACUCUGGGCCUUGGAAAUCCUUGGAGAUGUCUAAUUACAGCAGAUUUGAAUUUCUAAUGGGCCAAAGGCGACCACAGGUCAGCUUGCAAUUUCUCAGGCCUUUCUAUGCUGAAGAGAGAAGAGGACAGUGUGUGUGUGUGUGUGUGUGUGUCCUUGCCCAGAGAGAUAUGGGCUCUUUUCUACUCUACCUAUUCUGUUUUGUUUUGUUUUUCUUUUUGGCCGCCCUGCGGCAUACAGAGUGCCUGGGCCAGGGCUGAGAUCCCAG